AACCAAUAAUUUGUCUGUUACUUGGUGGCCAACUAAGGGGAAUAGAAUAUUCCAUCCUGAACAUAUUGAAAGAAUGCAAUGCAUUUUCAUAAACAUUUCUGGUACUUUGAAAAAUUGAAUAAUUCAACAAUUUUGAAGCUUCUAUAACAAAGAUCUAGGAAUUCGUGUGGAAUAGUCUGUGGCGUCCGGUCGGCAUUGCUCGUUACUUCUCUGAACUUCUUCAUCUGUCCACGAGUAAAAUUGUAUUUUGAAAAAAUAUGCAACGCUUUAAAUUGAAAAUUAAAUAACAAUGUCCACAAAACUAUUUUUCUUAAAAAAACAUAACCCUGUCUUUUUUUGAAGAUUUUGAAUUUAAAAUUGCAAC
rnacentral:lncRNA from 1 species